GCUUUAUGUACUGGAUAAUGGCCCUGGCCACUGUUUCUCAUGGACACAGAUAAUCAAGUGAAUUGCUUGGCAACAUGGGUCAGAUUUGCUGGAAAUUACGACCCCCAAGUACUUUCCAAAAGGAAAAGAAACUCAAAGAAAAUCCAGGUAAUUGUCCUUUUGCUUUAGACAAGGGAGUGCAUAUUCCUAGGAAGCUACAACAAGGGGCUCUGAGGACUUACCGCUGACAAUCUGGCCGACCGUCUUGUGGGCUACAAAAGAAAGAGUAAAAAAAAAAAUUGUUUUUGGUAUUUAUUAACAUCCAGGUUAGUUGUAAAAAUUCAUUCUUGAUAUAUUCUACCCUGUUGAGAGAAUGAAGCAUGUGACACCCAUCCUCUACAAGUUAGCACCAUGAAACACACCAAGUCCACCGAGCACUCCAGAGAAAGCACUGCUACAAGACACAGGUUCACCCUUCAUCAAGUGGCUUCUCCCAGUUAAGAGUGCUUGGAGAAGAGAAAAGAGAGGAAUCCUAGCUCCACCCUAAACCACAGUCACUUCUUUUAUGAUAAUUUGUUGUAAGAACUCGGAAUUACCUUUAAACAUGGUCUCUUUAAAAUGGAACCAAAACCGUAAGCUAGUAAGAGACAUGUAAGUAAUCACCACAGAACCAACCUGGUACCUUCCCAUCUCUGCGCUGCUGGGGAACAAUGACUGCAAAUCUUGCACAGGUUUCACUCCAUCCUUCCUGGUCCUUCUGCUCGCUUUCCCAUCUCCAGUAGAACAGCAGAUACUACCUUUCACAUCCCAGAAUAAUUGCUGAAUAAAUGAAUUUGAGCUUU